UAAUCUCACUACCAUCAUUUUGGUGAUUGUAUGUGGAUCUGGAUGCUGCCGUGUUGCAAAUGGCUCGUCUGAAAUGCUUGAGUGUACCCUGCUUUGCGGUGAAUUCGGUGUAAUAUAUCUUCAUCGGAGUUUGGUCUUUCAGGAUCACAUCUGCAUUGUUAUGGCUCUAUGCUUCCAAUCGUCUUGACCAGACAAUAUCUGACA
rnacentral:misc_RNA from 1 species